rnacentral:rRNA from 1 species
UACGUAGGGGGCUAGCGUUGUCCGGAAUCAUUGGGCGUAAAGAGCGUGUAGGCGGCCCGAUAAGUCCGGUGUGAAAGUCAAAGGCUCAACCUUUGAAUGCCGCUGGAAACUGUCUGGCUUGAGUCCGGAAGGGGCGAGUGGAAUUCCUGGUGUAGCGGUGAAAUGCGCAGAUAUCAGGAGGAACACCGGUGGCGAAGGCGGCAUCCUGGACCGGCAUUGACGCUGAGGCGCGAAAGCCAGGGGAGCAAACGGG